GACGAACGCUGGCGGCGUGCCUAAUACAUGCAAGUUGAGCGCUGAAGGUUGGUACUUGUACCGACUGGAUGAGCAGCGAACGGGUGAGUAACGCGUGGGGAAUCUGCCUUUGAGCGGGGGACAACAUUUGGAAACGAAUGCUAAUACCGCAUAACAACUUUAAACGCAAGUUUUAAGUUUGAAAGAUGCAAUUGCAUCACACAAAGAUGAUCCCGCGUUGUAUUAGCUAGUUGGUGAGGUAAAGGCUCACCAAGGCGAUGAUACAUAGCCGACCUGAGAGGGUGCUCGGCCACAGUGGGACUGAGACACGGCCCAAACUCCUACGGGAGGCAGCAGUAGGGAAUCUUCGGCAAUGGACGAAAGUCUGACCGAGCAACGCCGCGUGAGUGAAGAAGGUUUUCGGAUCGUAAAACUCUGUUGGUAGAGAAGAACGUUGGUGAGAGUGGAAAGCUCAUCAAGUGACGGUAACUACCCAGAAAGGGACGGCUAACUACGUGCCAGCCGCCGCAGUAA
rnacentral:rRNA from 1 species